AACGAACGCUGGCGGCAGGCUUAACACAUGCAAGUCGAGCGCCCCGCAAGGGGAGCGGCAGACGGGUGAGUAACGCGUGGGAACGUACCCUUUGCUACGGAAUAGCUCCGGGAAACUGGAAUUAAUACCGUAUGUGCCCUACGGGGGAAAGAUUUAUCGGCAAAGGAUCGGCCCGCGUUGGAUUAGCUAGUUGGUGGGGUAAUGGCCUACCAAGGCGACGAUCCAUAGCUGGUCUGAGGGGAUGAUCCGCCACAUUGGGACUGAGACACGGCCCAAACUCCUACGGGAGGCAGCAGUGGGGAAUAUUGGACAAUGGGCGCAAGCCUGAUCCAGCCAUGCCGCGUGAGUGAUGAAGGCCUUAGGGUUGUAAAGCUCUUUCACCGGAGAAGAUAAUGACGGUAUCCGGAGAAGAAGCCCCGGCUAACUUCGUGCCAGCAGCCGCCGUAAGAC
rnacentral:rRNA from 1 species